GCGAAUCUCGAAAGCCUGUCUCAGUUCGGAUUGGAGGCUGAAACCCGCCUCCAUGAAGUUGGAUUCGCUAGUAAUCGCGCAUCAGCCAUGGCGCGGUGAAUACGUUCCCGGGCCUUGUACACACCGCCCGUCAAGCCAUGGAAGCUGGGGGUGCCUGAAGUUCGUGACCGGAAGGAGCGACCUAGGGCAAAACCGGUGACUGGGGCUAAGUCGUAACAAGGUACC
rnacentral:rRNA from 1 species